UACGAAGGGGGCUAGCGUUGCUCGGAAUCACUGGGCGUAAAGCGCACGUAGGCGGAUUUCUAAGUCAGGGGUGAAAUCCUGGAGCUCAACUCCAGAACUGCCUUUGAUACUGAGGAGCUUGAGUCCGGGAGAGGUGAGUGGAACUGCGAGUGUAGAGGUGAAAUUCGUAGAUAUUCGCAAAGAACACCAGUGGCGAAGGCGGCUCACUGGCCCGGUACUGACGCUGAGGUGCGAAAGCUAGGGAGCGAACGAGG
rnacentral:rRNA from 1 species